rnacentral:rRNA from 1 species
UGAUGCAGCGACGCCGCGUGAGGGACGACGGCCUUCGGGUUGUAAACCUCUUUCAGCACAGACGAAGCGCAAGUGACGGUAUGUGCAGAAGAAGCACCGGCCAACUACGUGCCAGCAGCCGCGGUAAUACGUAGGGUGCGAGCGUUGUCCGGAAUUACUGGGCGUAAAGAGCUCGUAGGUGGUUUGUCGCGUUGUUCGUGAAAACUCACAGCUCAACUGUGGGCGUGCGGGCGAUACGGGCAGACUAGAGUACUGCAGGGGAGACUGGAAUUCCUGGUGUAGCGGUGGAAUGCGCAGAUAUCAGGAGGAACACCGGUGGCGAAGGCGGGUCUCUGGGCAGUAACUGACGCUGAGGAGCGAAAGCGUGGGGAGCGAACAGGAUUAGAUACCCUGGUAGUCCACGCCGUAAACGGUGGGUACUAGGUGUGGGUUUCCUUCCUUG